rnacentral:rRNA from 1 species
CCUACGGGAGGCUGCAGUGAGGAAUAUUGGUCAAUGGGCGCGAGACUGAACCAGCCAAGUCGCGUGAGGGAAGACGGUCCUAUGGAUUGUAAACCUCUUUUGUCGGGGAGCAAAAGGCGCCACGCGUGGCGUUCCGAGAGUACCCGAAGAAAAAGGAUCGGCUAACUCCGUGCCAGCAGCCGCGGUAAUACGGAGGGUGCGAGCGUUAUCCGGAUUUAUUGGGUUUAAAGGGUGCGCAGGGGGAAGAUGAAGUCAGCGGUAAAAUGAAGAGGCUCAACCUUGUCGAGCCGUGGAAACUGGUUUUCUUGAGUGAGAGAGACGUAUGCGGAAGGCGUGGUGUAGCGGUGAAAUGCAUAGAUAUCACGCAGAACUCCGAUUGCGAAGGCAGCAUACCGGCGCUCAACUGACGCUCAUGCACGAAAGUGUGGGUAUCGAACAGGAUUAGAUACCCUUGUAGUC